rnacentral:rRNA from 1 species
GGGUAACCUGCCCAAGAGAUCGGGAUAACACCUGGAAACAGAUGCUAAUACCGGAUAACAACAGAUGAUGCCUAUCAACUGUUUAAAAGAUGGUUCUGCUAUCACUCUUGGAUGGACCUGCGGUGCAUUAGCUAGUUGGUAGGGUAACGGCCUACCAAGGCGAUGACGCAUAGCCGAGUUGAGAGACUGAUCGGCCACAUUGGGACUGAGACACGGCCCAAACUCCUACGGGAGGCAGCAGGC